AAGGCAUUUGGCAAUUUGAAUUGUUAUUCUUGUACUUAAGUGCAGCAGUUAGUGAGAGUGUUUCUUCAAAACCUGUUCAAGAUAUCCAUCAUUUAAAAUAAUUUGGUUUAAUUUCUUUGCAGCUGUAUAGAAAUUUUAGUAUUGUUUGAUUUAAAGAAAUGCUUAUGUUUAUUUGAUACUAAAGCACUGUAAACAAUGUUUUUUUAACCCUGAGCUUUAUAUUUCACCCAUUUCUCAUUAUUUUCUGAAGGGCAGCUGUGUCAUUCUGUUGCAGUAAAACCAACAAAGAGUCUUGUGGCACCUUAAAGGCUAACAAAUUGAUUUCAGUGUGUAAGCUUUGCUGGACCACAGUACACUUCAACAAAUGCAUGAAAUGUCAUCCUCAGUUGGCAGCCUCCAGGUCAUUCGGUUUCCAAGCAACAUCCAACGGGGCCUCCUCAACCUCCAAGGAACCCACAGCCACUUCCUGGAAUGGUACCAAAAACAGCAAUCAAAAUCUCUCUCAGUCUCAGGACAGAGCCAGCAGCAUAAGCACAAUGGAUACAGGCUUUAUUUUGCAACCUCCACAGAAGUUGGAAGAGAUCACAUCAAAUUCCCUGAUGAGGGCAAAACAGAUUCAGCCUUAAAACACUCACCUGCCACCCACCCAUCUCAGCCUCUCGAUGGCUCAUCAGAAUAUCCUCCUCUGGGACCACUCUCUGCAUGCAGUUCUCUGGGUCACAUUCCUGCAACCAGCUCUGGAUUUCUGGUGGCAGGAUGGCCAGGAACUGCUCCAGGAUCACCAACUCCAAAAUCUGCUCCUUCGUGUGUCUCUCUGGCUUCAACCACUUGUGGCAAAGCUCCUGGAGUUGGCUGUAAAUGAUCCGUGGAUCUUCAACCUCCCGGCAGCGGAACUGCCGGAAGUGUUGGCGCUGUGUCUCCACGUUCAUGGCAUCCCUUUGCAAGAUGGUUGCCUUCACUUUCCCAUAGUCUUCUCUGUCUCUGCCUUCUAGGCUGCUCACGGCCUGCUUGGCUUCCCCACGAAGCCCUGGCAGGAGCCUGGUCGCCCAUUCGUCUCUAGGCCACUGGCAGGCUUCGGCCACUUGCUCAAAGGAGGCCAGAAAAGCCUUGACAUCACUCCAUGGUUGAGUCGGCUGUGAGUCCCUUGAUCCUAAGUGAGGGGAACCCAGCACUUCCAGGAACUCCUGCCACUGGACUCCCCAGCUUUGGUGUGGGUCCUCCAGCGGUUCCUGUCUGACUCCUUGGGUUGCUGCCGACAGUGGGUGCUCCUCCAUACUGCAUUCCAGAUGAAUCAUCCUGAAGCCUGCUCUUGCUCUUUCUUCCAGUUCUGGGCCUGCAUGGUGGCUGUGCUCCAUUUUCACCCCUGGCCACACACCCUGCUUAGAAGAGGACCUUGCAAGGCGAUUUGAUGGUCUCUUGUCCUCAACCUUAACCCUGUUUUGCCAAGACAUACAGAGCAGGGAAAGACACAACUUCUUCUCCCUUCUUGGCUGGCUGGUGGCAGAGCCUGUGCAAGGCAGAGGCUGACCCUGUGACAGAGUUGGUGAGUCUCCUGCAACGGAGCUCAGUUUUUCAGAGGCCUCCAGUCUGAGUGCCCCCUGAGGAUAUUCUGGGUUAGCAAAUGAGAGGGGAGGGGGCGGGUGGGCCUGCUACCUGACAGGAAGAAAAUGCCAUGGGGUGGGGGGGAUGG